rnacentral:rRNA from 1 species
UACAGAGGGGGCAAGCGUUGUUCGGAAUUACUGGGCGUAAAGGGCGCGUAGGCGGCCUUCUAAGUCGAACGUGAAAUCCCCGGGCUCAACCCGGGAACUGCGUCCGAUACUGGAAGGCUUGAAUCCGGGAGAGGGAUGUGGAAUUCCAGGUGUAGCGGUGAAAUGCGUAGAUAUCAUCUGGAACGCCCAUGGUGAAAACAGGUAGCUGGGAGUGUGCUGACGCUGAGACACGAAAGCCAGGGGAGCGAACGGG